rnacentral:rRNA from 1 species
GACGAACGCUGGCGGCGUGCUUAACACAUGCAAGUCGAACGGUGAUGCUCCAGCUUGCUGGAGUGGAUCAGUGGCGAACGGGUGAGUAACACGUGAGCAACCUGCCCCAGACUCUGGAAUAAGCGCUGGAAACGGCGUCUAAUACUGGAUACGAAACUGGCCCGCAUGGGCAUGGUUUGUAAAGUUUUUCGGUUUGGGAUGGGCUCGCGGCCUAUCAGCUUGUUGGUGAGGUAAUGGCUCACCAAGGCGACGACGGGUAGCCGGCCUGAGAGGGCGACCGGCCACACUGGGACUGAGACACGGCCCAGACUCCUACGGGAGGCAGCAGUGGGGAAUAUUGCACAAUGGGCGAAAGCCUGAUGCAGCGACGCCGCUUGAGGGAUGACGGCCUUCGGGUUGUAAACCUCUUUCAGCAGGGAAGAAGCGAAAGUGACGGUACCUGCAGAAGAAGCACCGGCUAACUACGUG